rnacentral:lncRNA from 1 species
GCCAACUCGCCGGAGCAACAGGGUGGGCGGUUCAUUGCGCGUGCACGCAAGCAGCACGGCCACGAACGAAGCCAUACAAGGUGGAACAGCGCGUUUUACGGCAAUCGAAGUUGUGUGUGUGACGCGCUUGGUGUGUGCAAAGAGCAAUUGAGUUGCCUGUGUGACGAAUGUGUAUGCGCAAAUAGCACGACCACGAACGAAGCGAUACAAGGUGGAACAGCGCGUGUUGCACAAUCGAGUUGUGUGUGUGCGUGUGUGUGACGCGUUUGUGAUGCGCAAAGAGCACGACGACGAUCGUCUUCUAACUGCGCCAGAGCAAACCGAUUGUUGAGUACUACAUACGUAUUGCGCGGGCGUUAAAACUAGAGAAACACGGGAUUGCGACGCCACCAGCCGCAGUGUAUAGGACUGCACGUACGUACUACGUACGUACGUUUUUGUAAUGUGGUCACUCUUAAAAGGACGAUGGCAUUUCUGCACCGGCGGAGAAGGGGGAAAUCGUGAUUAAAUUUGGCCGAUGAUUGUCGAAAGCAAAGGCUUACCCUUAAUUAGGGGUUAUCCCCUACUUUCUACUGAAACUGCAGCCUCUAGUAGUCUUCAUGCACUUUAGUAGUCAUGACACCAUACGACGAUACCCUGUGACGUGCGGCCCAGACUACUGGAGAGCUGGUUGAUCAAGCUUGCUCAAUAAACUUGACCUUUUGUUCUUUCGUUAUGCUACAGUGCUAGAGCGUAGUUUCUUGCUAUUAGUAAACAGGCAAGACAACAAAGCAUUGCUACUCUA